UCCACCUGAUCGCCGAAUUUCCUCGGUGGAAAGCGGGGGAACCAGGUAAGUGGGGUUAAUCUCCGCGCCAGUUUUUCCUAUACGGGGAAAAAGGGGCGCGGGGUAGGGCCAUCCUUGGUCCGCACCCGGCAGCUAACCUCGCAGGCGUGGAAGGAGGUGGAU
rnacentral:sRNA from 2 species